rnacentral:tRNA from 1 species
GAGAAAGGCUUAAAAAAGCGUAGUCGGGCUUCUAACCUGAUUAAGGGUGGGAUGGCAUCCAUUUCUUU